rnacentral:rRNA from 1 species
UACAGAGGUCCCAAGCGUUGUUCGGAUUCAUUGGGCGUAAAGGGUGCGUAGGCGGCGCGGUAAGUCGGGUGUGAAAUCUCGGAGCUUAACUCCGAAACUGCAUUCGAUACUGCCGUGCUUGAGGACUGGAGAGGAGACUGGAAUUUACGGUGUAGCGGUGAAAUGCGUAGAUAUCGUAAGGAAGACCAGUGGCGAAGGCGGGUCUCUGGACAGUCCUGACGCUG